rnacentral:rRNA from 1 species
GACGAACGCUGGCGGCGUGCCUAAUACAUGCAAGUCGAGCGCAGGAAACUGACGGAACUCUUCGGAGGGAAGGCAGUGGAAUGAGCGGCGGACGGGUGAGUAACACGUAAGGAACCUGCCUCAAGGAUUGGGAUAACUCCGAGAAAUCGGAGCUAAUACCGGAUAGUUCAUCGGACCGCAUGGUCCGCUGAUGAAAGGCGCUUCGGCGUCACCUUGAGAUGGCCUUGCGGUGCAUUAGCUAGUUGGUGGGGUAACGGCCCACCAAGGCGACGAUGCACAGCCGACCUGAGAGGGGGAUAGGCCACACUGGGACUGAGACACGGCCCAGACUCCUACGGGAGGCAGCAGUAGGGAAUCUUCCACAAUGGACGAAAGUCUGAUGGAGCAACGCCGCGUGAGUGAUGAAGGUUUUCGGAUCGUAAAACUCUGUUGUAAGGGAAGAACACGUACGAGAGGGAAUGCUCGUACCUUGACGGUACCUUACGAGAAAGCCACGGCUAACUACGUGCCAGCAGCCGCCGCCG